rnacentral:tRNA from 1 species
GGAGAGGUGUCCGAGUGGCUGAAGGAGCAGCACUGGAAAUGCUGUAUGCGGCUUAAACCGUAUCGGGGGUUCGAAUCCCCCCCUCUCCG